UGAACGCUGGCGGCAUGCUUUACACAUGCAAGUCGAGCGGCAGCGCGGGGGCAACCCUGGCGGCGAGCGGCGAACGGGUGAGUAAUACAUCGGAACGUGUCCCGUAGUGGGGGAUAGCCCGGCGAAAGCCGGAUUAAUACCGCAUAUGCUCUACGGAGGAAAGUGGGGGACUCGCAAGGGCCUCACGCCAUGGGAGCGGCCGAUGUCCGAUUAGCUUGUUGGCGGGGUAAUGGCCCACCAAGGCGACGAUCGGUAGCUGGUCUGAGAGGAUGAUCAGCCACACUGGGACUGAGACACGGCCCAGACUCCUACGGGAGGCAGCAGUGGGGAAUUUUGGACAAUGGGGGAAACCCUGAUCCAGCCAUGCCGCGUGCGGGAAGAAGGCCUUCGGGUUGUAAACCUCUUUCAGCAGGGACGAAGCCACUCGGGUUAAUAGCCCAGAGGGUGACGGUACCUGCAGAAGAAGCCCCGGCUAACUACGUGCCAGCAGCCGCGGUAAUUCGUAGGGGGCAAGCGUUGUCCGGAUUUAUUGGGCGUAAAGAGCGUGUAGGCGGCCGCACAAGUCCGUUGUGAAAACUGGAGGCUUAACCUUCAGACGUCGAUGGAAACCGUGCGGCUAGAGUCCGGAAGAGGAGAAUGGAAUUCCUGGUGUAGCGGUGAAAUGCGCAGAUAUCAGGAAGAACACCCGUGGCUAAGGCGGUUCUCUAGUACGGUACUGACGCUGAGACGCGAAAGCGUGGGGAGCGAAC
rnacentral:rRNA from 1 species